rnacentral:tRNA from 1 species
GCCAUCAUGGCUCAGUGGUUGAGCAUCUACCUAUGAACCAGGAGGUCAUGGUUCGAUUCCCGGUGAGGGCA